rnacentral:rRNA from 1 species
GACGGAGGAUGCAAGCGUUAUCCGGGAUGAUUGGGCGUAAAGCGUCCGCAGGUGGCAGUUCAAGUCUGCUGUCAAAGACCGGGGCUUAACUUCGGAAAGGCAGUGGAAACUGAAUAGCUAGAGUAUGGUAGGGGCAGAGGGAAUUCCUGGUGUAGCGGUGAAAUGCGUAGAGAUCAGGAAGAACAUCGGUGGCGAAGGCGCUCUGCUGGACCAUAACUGACACUCAGGGACGAAAGCUAGGGGAGCGAAUGGG